UUUCCUAACAUGAAGGGUCUUCCUCUAUUAUGCAAACUCUUUGGCUUCCUCCCGGCGACAGCACAGGCAAAAGGGGCCCCUCAUAUCCCAAUCAAUCUCACCGGAUUCCAACUACUAUUAUCUUAUUAUUAAUCUUCUCCGUUCACCCCAACCCACCAAUCCCAUAUCGACAACCACUUCUCAUUUCCCAAUCACUUGUUUCAAUAUUAUUUAAUUUGCUGACGACGUUAAUACCAUGAAUUUACCAAAAGGGCGUGCGAGACCCACAUGGCCGGUGUUGUUUAAUCUGUGCUGUCUCUCUCUCCUUCACUCUCCCCCCACCACAUGUACGAUGAAAUGCUCCUAUGAAUAUUAUCAUUUAUAUAUCUAUAUAUAUUGGUUAAGCUUCAUCUUCAACAAGUAAGAAUAACCUCAAACUCACUACACUUUUGUUGUUCUUGUUUAUCUUUGUUUGAAAAGCUGUAAAGUUGAAAAGUCAACGCCACACACUAAUCAUUUAGGUUUCUUGAUCUUGUUGUUCUAGUGCUGCUCUAGUGGACCAAUGGGUAAUUGGGAUAUGGGUGAGAUUAUGGAAGAAAUCUGACAGAAGAGAGUGAGCAUAUGCAACCAAUUGUAUAGAUUGUAUACAUUUGUUGGGAUUCUGCAUGUGCUCACUUCUCUUCUGUCAGCUAGCUAGCUCAACUCACAAAGCCAGUGGAACAACAACAACAACAACAACAGUAACAUAACUUAUAACAUAAGUUGUUAUUGUUGUGUUGUUAUAUCUAUUUUGUUUGAAUUUUAUGUGUUUUUAUAAUCAUUUUAUGUGUACUGUGUUUUAGUGGAUAAGGGAGAAUUGAAGCUUACAGAAAAAGUAGUGACACCUGGACACAAUAACCACAAUCUACUGCCACCACCAUCACUGUAUUCAUUGGGAAAGGCUGCAAGUUAUGUUGACUAGUUACACAUCUUUCUAUAUAAUUAACAAAUUUGACUCUUUUUUCAGGUUCUUGAAGUGUAAAAAUGGAAACUUGGAUGAGAUUCAAAUGAAGAAGGUGAAGAAGAAGAUGAUGUUGGGUACUUUAGGUCACACUAAAAUGGGGGUUUAGAAAAGAAAGAAAAAAAAACUUUUCUUUUUUUUUUAUUUUUUUUUUUCAGGUUUGGAAACAACAUGACUGCCCAAAGAUGCAUGCAAUAAAAUCUUGGAAAGUUUUAAGCUUUCCAUAUGAUUAGGAGGGUUAUUUCUUUGGCAGCUGGAUAAACAAUAAAGAAUUGUGUAAUGCCAUCAUGACCAUGGACAUCCUGCAACAAAACAGGAUUUUAGUGCUUCGAUAACAAGUGGACUUGGCUCCGGGCUUUCAAGUCAGAGAAGGAUGCCGAAAUAGCAUACGUUUCCUCCAAAACUUGCAAAUUACAUAGUCGCCCCACGGAGUACAGAACAAGACUUGCGACAACCGCAUUAUGUGGACAACGCAGGGGGGCGUUUUGGUAAACUGUUUUAAUAGGAGUUUACCCGGGUGAGGCUGCGUAACUUUCCCAACUAGACCAUGAUCUAAAAAAAGCUGCUUUGAAGUUAUCUCCAACAAUAGUUAUAUCGGGUGAGGAUCAAAACAGGUAUAUUUGUUGUUAACAUUUCAUGACAUCUUUGCACUCUUUUUUCUGGCAAGACCGAACGCGUGUUUUAAAUAUUACAGCUUGGUUCAGCUCGUUUUUGUUCAACAAUCUCGAUAUUCUUCAUCUAUCAAAGAUGUGUUUGAUGGUUUU